rnacentral:lncRNA from 1 species
AGCUCCCUGCCUUGUGAUUACCAUAUUAACCCAUCUUUGCUCUGCCUUAUACCAAUAUGAUCCACAGGCCACUGUAAGGAGCAGUUAUUUAGCCUCGACAGGGCAGGGGAUUUUAGUCUGAAUCAUUGCUGAAUCUCCAGUCCCUGCAAAACAACCUGCACAUUGCAUGAGGAAAGGCCAUGUGAAGAUAAAGAAAAGGCUGCCAUCUCCAGGUCAGGAAGAGAGGUCUCACCAGAAACCAACUUGGACUUCUAGCAUCUAGAACUGUGAGAAAAUAGAUUUCUGUUGCUUAAGCCACCUAGUCUGUGAUUUUUCAUUAUGGCAGCCAAUGUAGACUAAUACAAUAAUAAAUAAAUUAGACAAUA